GUCCUUUAGAAUUUAAUUUAAGGUCUGACCUGCCCAGUGAUAAAUUUAACGGCCGCGGUAUACUGACCGUGCAAAGGUAGCAUAAUCAUUAGUCUUUUAAUAGAGGGCUGGAAUGAACGGUUUAACGAGGAACUGACUGUCUCAUUUUAUUUGUUUUAAAACUUAAUUUUUUAGUUAAAAAGCUAAAAUAUUAUUGGAAGACGAGAAGACCCUAUAGAUCUUCAUAUAAUUUUUUAUAUUCACUUAUAUAUUAAUAUGAGUAUAAUAAAAUUGUAUUUUGUUGGGGUGACAAAAAUAUAUAAUUAACUUUUUCAUUUAUUUACCAUUGAUAUAUGAUUUUUAGAUCCACUAUUAGUGAUUAUUAGAACAAGUUACCUUAGGGAUAACAGCGUAAUCCUCCUCCAGAGUUCAUAUUUACAGGAGGGCUUGCGACCUCGAUGUUGGAUUAAGAUAAUAAUUAGGUGUAGCCGCUUAAUAUAUAGGUCUGUUCGACCUUUAAAUUCUU
rnacentral:rRNA from 1 species